GGCAGACGUGCUCCGACUCCGGUCUGGUAUACGGGUUGCAGUCGGACUCUCUGGCUAUUUUGUGAGCUCCCAUCUGACAGCCUACACUUCUCCGCCGUGUGCCUUGGCCGCAGGAUACGGAGCACUAAGAAGAAAGACCGUAGGAUAAACUCUCAUUUUCCCAGUCGGUUGGGGAAGGAGGUGAAAAAGCCACGCUAGAAACUGAAAGGUAAGCGUGCAGGAAUCCUCCUUCUCCUCACCAGAUGUCUCUUCAGGCCUUCUCAACCUUGGCACUAUUUCAACAUUUUGGCACCUCCUCCCUGACAUCAUGUCCCUGACCCACCACCACUAAGGGGUUCCCGGAUAUUUCACAGCUGAUGACGAGAGGGAAAUCAUGAUUUCACCAACAGAGUUCAAACUGCAAUGAAAUACUUCCCAAACCAUAGCCAAGUCUUGUCCUACGCCUGCCAUGUGGGCGGAGGAAUACAAGGGACAAUGAAUGAUGGCUGAAAACAGGAACAGAACCCAAAGCUGUAGACUGUCCUACAAUGGGAGCAGAGGAGACUCAGUGUUGCCCAAAGAAGAGCUUAGUUUUAGCUCAAGAAACAGUUUGGAAGACAUCUCAUUGCAUUUGAUGACUUUUAUUUCAAACAAAGAGCUUUCAGUUUCAGUGCACAGCCAACCUGAGAGUGAACAUAACAAAUUAAUCAGCACUUUUAAAAAAGAGACCACCAGAAUGGUUUCAAGUUUAAUUCAGAUGUCACCCUAAAGGGAAAAAUAACAACAGCUAUCUGGCCACUGGAAGAGAGUAUCGAUGACAUCAUCACUCGAUCUGCACCCAUUUUGUUGCAUACAUUUUAAGUUCAAGGGGGUGUCUGUGUGGGCCAUGAAUGUGAAUAAGUCCAUAAGGGCUUUCUUAACACUGGGAAGGCUAAGUACUGCCAAGCUAAAUGAUGAGAAUCACAGUGAUGGAGGAGACAUUGCCUCAACCCCGAUUCUUCUGAAGUGUCUUUCAAACACAGCCCCUUAAAGUUAAUCUCCCCAACCUUUACCUACAGGGCUCAGUGAAGAAUAUGAAAAGCUGCCUUCCUGAAACUUCCUUCAAAGAGGGAGUGAUCUCCUGGAAUUCAAGCUUCUACAAGGUGACUACCUGGUCUUUCCCAUUUUUGUCUUCUCCUAAAAAGCAUCAAUCAAGCCUUGCCCUUUCAGCCCACUGAACACAUAAACACUCUUUCUCCUUAACUGAACUUACUGCCACGAUGAACUUGAACUCUAAGACGCACAAGAGGAGAGUUGUUUUAACAGCUGCUUUUACACGGAGGCCCUGGAGUUACUACUCUCAAGACAGCUGGUUCUGAUAAGCCUCUCUUUGCACUGUCCUGUUUUUUCUAAUGCCCAGCUGUCAGAGAACACCCCCUGCAGUGCUCCAAAACAAAGGCACAAAGCAGAAGAAAGGCAGGAGAAUGGUACUCACUUGGAUAUAAGGAAUAUCCUACCUAGGGACCCUUUUUACAAGCUGGCAUAGGGUUUUUCUCUCCAGUUUACUUUAAUAAGUUUAGAAAUUUCUUGGCUAGUUGAAUAUUAAUUGCUUAAGAUGUACUGUUGUCUGAGGUUGCCCUGUCCAAUAUGGUAGCCACCAGCUACAGGUGGCUAUUUAAAUUUAGAGUAAUUAAAAUUAAAUACAAUGUAAAGUGCGGUCUCCCUGUUGCCCUUAGCCACGUUUCAAGGGCUUUGUAUUAGCCACAUGGGUCUAGUAGCUUCCAUAGUGGAAAGCAAAAAUAGAAAACAUUUCCAUCAUUGUAGAAACUUACUGGAUUGCAUUGGCCAAGGCAUAUCCUCUUUCUAAUAGGAGAAAGGGGAUGCAGAUCUGCCUACAAAUAAUGGUUUUGUAGGCUUGGCCUGUAUUGAUUACUUUCCAUACUACUUCCUGUACACUUUUUUUUUGGCUGCCAAUGUUCCAUUUUAUAAAUUCUUGGAAAGGGUAGUUGUGGUCUUUAAAACCACCCAUGAAAAUGAUCCCACUUUGGAGGAAAUAAAACAACAAGAAGCAAAGGUGGUGGCAUGGCAAUCCACACAUUCCAAGUCUUUUUAUUGGUAAUCGUUAAAUAACACAGGAGGAAAUGAGCCUCAGCCAGGACUUCCCACACAGGUAUGGAGGCUGAGAACCCUCGCGGGGAGAGAUCGAAAGCCAGGCCCUCUACUUAUCCUGGCUCUCAGAUCACUGAACUCGUGUCUGGGUAAUGAUGUAAGUGUGAACAGAAGCACACUCUCUGAUAGGAGGUUUUGACGCCGGGGUGCCUGGGUGGCUCAGUGGUUAAAGCCUCUGCCUUCGGCUCAGGUCAUGAUCCCAGGGUCCUGGGAUCGAGUCCCACAUUGGGCUCUCUGCUCAGCAGGGAGCCUGCUUCCCUCUCUCUCUCUCUUUCUGCCUGCCUCUCUGCCUACUUGUGGUCUGUCUGCCAAAUAAAUAAAAAUCUUAAAAAAUAAAAUAAAAAUAAAAAUUUAAAAGUUCCAGGCCACCAGCCACAGAGCACUUAUCCCUGAAAAUGAUUACACAAUUGUACAUUUAAAAGGAAAGGUAGGAAUGAUAAUUUUUAUUUAGUGAACAAAGAUCAUUAGUAACCAUGAGUGUUCCUCUAAGAACAAUCUCUUAUUUUUAUCUUUAUGAUUAUAAUGAGGCUUCCGGGAAAACAGUGUCAGUUCUUUAUUUACACAUGUAAUUGCUUUUAUUUGUUUAAUACCAUAUUUUCUCCUUCUCUACCUGAAUGUAUAGCUGACUUGUUCACUGUUAUAUCCUUAGCAACUAGAAUAAUGCCUGGCUCACUGUAGACAUGUAAAAAGUAUUUGCUGAAAAAUAAAUGAUGACCACCUCCCCCCUUCUAAAGAAAUGUUGACGCCUUCUCCAUAAAAUAAAUCUUCCUCCACUGCCUCUACUAAUCAGGAUUCCCUCCCAACCAAUUAGACGUGGACUCAAUCUCUACCUCCCACUCCACAUUCCAAAAUUCCCAUUCCUUUCUGUUCCAGAAGGACAACUCGCUGACGUGAGUCCGUGAGAGGACCUACACUCCUCCUCGGGGCCUAAUAACCCUCCUUUCCCUGCUUCCCCCACCUUUGGACUUUUAAAAACUGCAAAAAUAGAAAUCUGCCACACUAUCAUGAUAUCAGCUGUCAGGAGGCAGGAACAGAGUCUCCCAUAGGCAUACAGUCACCAGAAACAAUGAAAAACAAACAAACAAAAAAAACCAACUAAGUUUUAUCUCCAAUGAGAUAGGUGCAGGCCAGUGUUUUGCUUGCUCUGAUUUAAAAAAACAACAACAACAACAACUUAUUUUUAAUACUCUAUUAUGAUAGAGUCAAAUAGUAUAUUUAUUUUUUUUUAAAAAGGCACUAGCAGUAUAUCUAAGAUGUGUCUUCAUUAUUAGAAAAAAUCUUAUGUUUAUUAAAAAUGCAUAGGCAUUUUGUGUGAUAUUCCUUAUGGUCAAAAAUCUUUACAUCAUCCUCCUAAUCUGGCUAAAGUGAUAACAUUAAAAUGAAACAAGAGAUGUUUUGCCAUUCCCAAAAUUUAACCAGUUGUUUGAAGUGUUUAUAAUCACUGGUUAUGGGAAUUUACCAAUAAAGAAAUAAAUUUGGAUUUUCUGUGGCUGGAGUCAAAUGGCUAAUGCCAAUAUUAGCUAAAUAAUGUUGAGGCUGAUGAAGUCCGAGUUGUAGGUAUACCUUUUAUUGAAUAUCAACAGGAAUUUAGAGAACUCAUUCUGAAUAUGGGUUAUUUCUAUCCCAUGAAGCAGGAUUAAUGUAGUCAGUAUACUGACACUGACAUUUUAUUAUAGUAAAUGAUCACACAGUCAAAAGGAUUCAUAAAAGCACCUCCUUCGUGGGGUAACAUGGUGGCUAAAUAUAGUGUGUGUUUGCUUAACUUGGCUUUGUAUGUAGUAAAUAUUCUCUAAAAGUUAGCUAUCAUCAUCUGCUUUGGAGAAGUUAUCUGAUUUCACACCUCAUAUAAACCUCAAACUCACAUGGGGACUCCCUGAUUUUAGUCCUUUUAACCCUCAGUUACCAUUCUAAACCACAUACAAAUGGGAGACUCAGUAGGGGCAUGCAUGGAACCAAGAGGCGACAGGGGUCAUCUUUACAAAUUUUUACAAAUUUUUUCAAAACUGCAGGCUCUCUUAAAACUUACACGCUUACUGCGAUCAUAUUUUAUUUUUCUUUAAUGAGAAAUUCUUUCUGAAAUGUAUUGCAGAUGAACAAAUAACAAAACUGACAAACACGGAAGUCUUACGGUUAUCUGAACACAAAGAAUAAGGUGUGAUCGAAUUUGUGCACGUAAGGUUAAGAGAGAGAGAGAAUCUGAAGCAGGCUCUGCACUGAGCACAGAGCCCAACACUGGCUCGAUCCCACCACUGCGAGAUCAUGACCUGAGCCAAAACCAAGAGUCAGGUGCUUAACCAAAUGCGUCACCUAGGCACCCUGCUGCAAUCUAACUGUCCUUUUAAGAGGACAUAUUUCCCUAGGUAAACAUUUCUCCGAAUAAAACCUGCACCCAUCAUUCACAUGGGCCAGAGUAAGAAGGAACAGUCUUGGCAGGAACAAGAGGCAAAGGAAGCCUUAAAGUUGGAGAGCAAGAAAGAAGAGUGGGAGCGAAGGUCCUGGGCAAUGGAGCAGAUGUCCUCCUGCCUACAACCAGUGCUUUUUGUGAGUCAAAAUGCUCAGUGGCUAAUCAGUAUUCAGGAGAAAGGAAAUCUCAUUUACUGAAACAUAACCAUGGUAGGAGGCAGUUUCCUUCUAAUGCUUUUUGGUUCAGAAAUAAUUAAGCACCAUUAGUGUUAUGAGAAGGAAACUAUGAGUAAACAAUUAAAAUGAAGACCCCAGCGUGAUUACUGGACACCUUCUAAUUCCCC